rnacentral:rRNA from 1 species
GAUGAACGCUGGCGGCGUGCCUAAUACAUGCAAGUCGAGCGAACGGACGAGAAGCUUGCUUCUCUGAUGUUAGCGGCGGACGGGUGAGUAACACGUGGAUAACCUCCCUAUAAGACUGGGAUAACUUCGGGAAACCGUAGCUAAUACCGGAUAAUCUUUUGAACCGCAUGGUUCAAAAGUGAAAGACGGUCUUGCUGUCACUUAUAGAUGGAUCCGCGCUGCAUUAGCUAGUUGGUAAGGUAACGGCUUACCAAGGCAACGAUGCAUAGCCGACCUGAGAGGGUGAUCGGCCACACUGGAACUGAGACACGGUCCAGACUCCUACGGGAGGCAGCAGUAGGGAAUCUUCCGCAAUGGGCGAAAGCCUGACGGAGCAACGCCGCGUGAGUGAUGAAGGUCUUCGGAUCGUAAAACUCUGUUAUUAGGGAAGAACAUAUGUGUAAGUAACUGUGCACAUCUUGACGGUACCUAAUCAGAAAGCCACGGCUAACUACGUG